rnacentral:lncRNA from 1 species
CGAGCACAUUUGGCUUUGGAAUGUGGCUGGAGCCAGUGACGUCACUGUGGUUGUUGCCACAAAACCUAAGCUCUCAACUACGGCUACAACACUAUGCCUGACUGUCUGAAGCUGUGCUUCAUGGUCUCCACCAUGAUGAUCACUGACUCGCUGUCUGAAGCUGUAAGCCCCUAAUAAACGUCGUUCUACAAGUUUCCUUGGCCAUGAUGUCUCUUCACAGCAACAAAUAACCAGGACAGAAAAUGUGACAGACCUGGCUACACUGAGGAAUGUGGAAGACUGGGACCUUGGACUUAGAAAGGGAAAGUGUCUACAUGAAGUCUCCAUAUAGACUAUGAAGGCCCAUAUUGAGAAGGUUCAGUUGGAGUAUAUUAGCAACUGGGCUAGCGACCAUUCUUGUGAUAUUUUGGCUGCUUUCUGUUUUUGUCCUUAGAAUUUGUCUGAUGCCAAAUUGAGAAGUAAUGGACUAAGAAGAAUUUUUAAAAAGAUAUGUUUAUCUAUAUGAAUACACUGUAACUAUCUUCACAUAGCACCAGAAGAGGGCAUCAGAUCCCAUUACAGAUGGUUGUGAGCCACCAUGUGCUUGCUGGGAAUUGAACUCAGGACCUCUGGAAGAGCAGUCAGUGCUCUUAACCUCUUAGCCAUUUCUCCAGCCCCAAUGGAGAAGAUUUUUAAGACAGCCUAAUAUUGACUCUGUCACAUGGUUGGUAGUCACUCUUACUCGAGCCUGCAAUGAAAAAAAAAAAAAAAGCAAGUGUAACAAGAGAAGUGCAAAGUGUACAGUUGGAGGAGAAAGGGGCCUUGGGAAAUGUCAUGUUGGAGCCAAGGCUUGUGCUGAAAGAAAUAAAAGAUUAAGGAGAGCCCCGAUCUGUAUUAAAAUAAAGGGAGAGCAGCUCCAGGACAAGACUCCACCCAGGCAAUCUUCCAACCUGUAAAAGGAAAAGGCCGAGGGAUUUGCUGUUUCUACCAAGACACAGAACAUGACAGCUGCUACAAAUGUGACUCAAGGGGUCAGGUCCACCUCCCUUUGCGACAGAACUUAACAAUGUUGCCUAUGUGGUCCAGGCUUUAGAGUCAUGAUGAACACAGAAGUAGAGGGGUCAUGGAAUCUUCCUUCAUGGUUAAGGAAAGCAUAGAAGGCAGGGACAUUUCAGGGAAGUCCCUGCAUGGAGGUCCUGAAAAUCCACUGCACCAAGCUGUGAAAGUGAGGCCUGGAUUGUGCUGGAGACCCGAAGAUGUUGGAGAUGCCAGAGCCGGAGGAUACCUGCCAAGGGGAGCCACCCACAGGAAGUGGACCCCGCCCAAGAGAAAAAUGAACUGUAGACAGAUAAGCUGGAAGGGUGGAGCUGUCUAAGCCCUGUGACAGCAGCCAUGGGGCUACAGGAGUUGGGCUUUGCCCUGCUGGAUUUUGGUCUUGCCUUUGUCCAGCGUUUCCUCACUAUGGUAUGCUGGAAGUCUGCAAUUCACUUUCUGAUUUUUUAACAGAGAAUUGCAGUUAGAUAUGAGAUUGCCGUGAGUCUCAGAAGAGACUUUGGACUUGUAAACAGCCUGGAGACCGAAAGACUAUGGAGACUUUUGAAGUGGACUGCAUGCAUUUUGCAUUAUGAUAUGGCCAUGAGUCUAUGGGGUCAGGGCAUAGAAUGUAGUGGCUUGAAUGACAAUAAUUCACAUGGGCUCGUAGAUUUGAAUACUUCGUUGGUGGAGCUGUUUGGGAAGGGUUAGGAGGCGUGUCCUUAUCGAGAAGGUACAUCACUGGGGGCAGGAUUUGAAGUUUCAAAACUCCCACCAUUCCUGGUGCACCCUCUGCAUCCUGCUUUUGAGUCAGGACGUGAGCUCCCAGCUCUUCCUGCUUCCACACCUCUGCCCCACCACCAUGGACUCUAAUCCUCUGAUACUGUAAGCCCAAUUAAAUGAGCUCUUUUAUAAGCUGCCUUGGUCAUGGCAUUUUUAUCACCACAAUUGAAAAUGACUAAUACAGAGGGAAACAGGUUUGUCUGGCUGGUUUGGCAUCAACUUGACACACUGGAGAGUCAUUGUCUCAAGAGGAGGCCCUUCAGAUGAGAAAAUGCCUUGAUAUAGGAUCUAGCUGUAGGCAAGCCUGUAGGGUGAUCAAUGGAGAAGAGCCCAGCUCACUGUGAGUGGGACCACCCCUUGGUGGGUGGUCCUGGGUCCUAUAAGAAAGCAGGCUGAGCAAGCCACGGGGAACAAUCCAGGCAGCAGCACCCUUUCGUGGCCUCUGCUUCGGUUCCUGCCUACAGGUUCCUGUCCUGACUUCUUUCAGUAAUGGAUUAUGAUGUGGAAGUGUAAGCCCUUUCCUCCUCAGCUUGCUUCCCCCCUCCCCCACCAUGGUGUCUCCUCACAGCUAUUGUGAGGCUCCCUUGGCAGGUAUCCCACAGCAAUCCUCCUCAGACGUGGCCACGGGCCACUCAUAUCUGAGCAACCCUUAAGCUGAGGCUCCAUUCUCAGGAGACUCUAGGCCAUGUCAAGUCAAGUAAAAGCUAUAAAGACCAAAGAGAAGAAACUUACUUUUCCUCUUUUAGAGUCUUGUCUCUCAGCCUUCCCCACUCCCCCACCAACUUUCAGCAGCUAGUAAUCAGUCUCAAAGUCAUGAUCUUCCUGUUACUACCUCCCGAAUGCUGAGGUCCCAGGCACGCGCCUCUCUGUAUGGUGUAUGUGGUGCUAGUGUUUGAACCUGCCUUGGUCAUGGUGCUGGC